GUGGGGAAUCUUGCGCAAUGGGCGAAAGCCUGACGCAGCCAUGCCGCGUGGAUGAUGAAGGUCUUAGGAUUGUAAAAUCCUUUCACCGGUGAAGAUAAUGACUGUAGCCGGAGAAGAAGCCCCGGCUAACUUCGUGCCAGCAGCCGCGGUAAUACGAAGGGGGCUAGCGUUGCUCGGAUUUACUGGGCGUAAAGGGCGCGUAGGCGGACAUUUAAGUCAGGGGUGAAAUCCCGGGGCUCAACCUCGGAACUGCCGUUGAUACUGGGUGUCUUGAGUAUGAGAGAGGUGUGUGGAACUCCGAGUGUAGAGGUGAAAUUCGUAGAUAUUCGGAAGAACACCAGUGGCGAAGGCGACACACUGGCUCAUUACUGACGCUGAGGCGCGAAAGCGUGGGGAGCAAACAGGAUUAGAUACCCUAGUAGUCC
rnacentral:rRNA from 1 species